UCUUCACGUCGCCAUUCUGAAGUGAGACCGGCCGGAACGCUCCCGGCGAGGGGAUGCCGUCGCCCUUGGGGAGGACCACAUAGGCCCUAUUCACGCCGGUGAGCUGAGCAGUGCAGGCGUGCACCUCGUCAAAGAGGCGCUGAAGGAGAGAAACAUGAAAAACAUGGACCAACUAAGAGGAACGUGCCAACAAACAAGGCCACCCUAAACACUGAGAAGCCUACCACUGGCAGGCCGUCCAAAUCAGAACAUAUAUUCCCUAGUAAUCCAUUUGAGCUUCUUUCAUCACAAUUCCUUUUUCUCUAGAACAGGCAGACUCCAUCUAAGCAUUGCCAGAAAUUUGAGAACAUCGAAAAGAAAGACAAGAUGACGGCUUAUCAGAAAGGUAAGGCAAGAGCGCUUAAAUCUCCAGCAUUAGUGUAAGAUCAUCAAACCUA
rnacentral:lncRNA from 1 species